rnacentral:tRNA from 1 species
ACCGCGAUAGCUCAGCUGUUGAGCAUCUGCCGGCUAUGCGGAGUCGCCGGUUCGAUUCCGCUCGCGGCG